rnacentral:rRNA from 1 species
ACGCACGCUGGCGGCGUGCCUCAUCCCUGCCAGUCGAACGCUUCUUUCCUCCCGAGUGCUUGCACUCAAUUGGAAAGAGGAGUGGCGGACGGGUGAGUAACACGUGGGUAACCUACCCAUCAGAGGGGGAUAACACUUGGAAACAGGUGCUAAUACCGCAUAACAGUUUAUGCCGCAUGGCAUAAGAGUUAAAGGCGCUUUCGGGUGUCGCUGAUGGAUGGACCCGCGGUGCAUUAGCUAGUUGGUGAGGUAACGGCUCACCAAGGCCACGAUGCAUAGCCGACCUGAGAGGGUGAUCGGCCACACUGGGACUGAGACACGGCCCAGACUCCUACGGGAGGCAGCAGUAGGGAAUCUUCGGCAAUGGACGAAAGUCUGACCGAGCAACGCCGCGUGAGUGAAGAAGGUUUUCGGAUCGUAAAACUCUGUUGUUAGAGAAGAACAAGGACGUUAGUAACUGAACGUCCCCUGACGGUAUCUAACCAGAAAGCCACGGCUAACUACGUG